rnacentral:lncRNA from 1 species
AUGCCCGCACAGCUGAAGAGGUCAGAGACUUGAUCUCUCCACGCCCGCCGCCAUGUUGGAUCUCAGUAAAAUGAUGUUUAAAAAGCAAAGAUCAGUUUUAGAACUACAGUACUUAAGAUUUAUGAAGAGCCCGCCUUACCUGAGAUAAGGCUCUGUGUCCCAUCUCACAACUACGAAAGAAGUAGGCCAAAUUUCAGUACAUUUAAAGUCGUGUCCAAAAGUUGAUUUUUGUCAAGAUUACUAGGAUCUCAAACAGGGAAUUAUAACCAAAAUUCAAGGUAGGUAUUAUAUGAACUAAAUAUGUUUUUACUUUUGAUAAUUUUAUUUUGUAGUUUUCUUAUAAAUGGUCUAAAGAUUGCCUGUUAAUGUUUUGCAGAGGUACUGUUUUAAGAACUCACAACCUGGGUUAAUUUAAGAUAAUGAGUUAUCACCUACAGGAUAGAGAGAUAGACAUUAAAGCCCAGUAAUCUUAAUAUAAGGCUGUAGAAAUUUAUUUGCUAGAUGUUUAAGAUUAAGUUUUAAAAUUAAAGUUAAAUUAAAAGGGCUAAGGAAACAAAUAUUUGGCUCUUGCCCUCUGAGUCAGUCUGAAUCCAGGGAACAGGGGACAUCUCCAAAGAGCUUUGCAACCCUGGGCCACAUAACCUCCCAAUCAGGGAGAUUAAUGAGACCACUAGAGGACAGAAAGCAAAUCAGUGCAUUUGCUAUGAAGAGGAGGGUCAUCAGAAAAAGGAGAUAUCCCUGAUGCUUCCAAGGGAAGCCACAUGGUUAAGCAAGGCCUGGACCCAUCCUAGCGCAAAUGGCACUAGCAGAACUGAGAAGCUGCUGUAAAGUUCCCCCAGGACUCCCAGGGAAACUCAGCUGACUGUUAACAAUAGAUAGAAACAAAAGUCAGUUUGACUGCUUCAUCUUAAACACUUAGCAAAGACAGUCAAAGCCAAAACACAGCUAUUCCUGGACAUUUUAAAUAAUAAUAAUAAUAGUUAAAUGUAACUUCCAUGAAUAAGUAAACUGGAGGCUGCAAAAGAUAUUCUUAGGUAGGAAUGACUGAUAACUAUCAAAAGAAACUGCCAGAGUAGUUUUAGUUUAAGGCCCACAGAUAUUCCUAACCUACACAGGUAGGCUUAGUGUUUGCUAGUAUGAUUAUCCAGCCCUAAGUAACAGAAUUAAAGAUUUCUCUAUUAGACACAGAGGUCAUACUAGUAAAAGGAUUUUGCAAGAUCAGAUGACAUUAAAUUAUUAAACUGUGUCUUAAGGGGAAGGAUAUCUGUAACCCUAAAAGUUAAAUGUUAUGUUUAUAGUCCUGGUAACUGGAAAUGUUAAAGCCCGGUGAGGGAACUUAUGUACAGUGACAUGUUCAGCUGUUGCAACAUUUAUUCAGUACUCAUGGUUUUUGUUUCUCUCAUAGAAGCACCCAUCCCCAGAUGACAACCUGUUUUUCCCCAACCAGACCUCAAAUGGAACUGACUUCUAAAAGGGAACUCAUGUCCCCCAUGUCAUCGUCCCCCACAUCGUCCAUUGUCCCCCAUGUCAUUGAGCCCCCUCAUGUUCGACACCCCUUUUCAGCUCUGAAGCAGCCAGAACGAGCCAUUGCCCCUUCUCACCCCUUCUCCUUACAGCAAUAAAGUUUCUAAAAUUAGGGGAAAUAAAGCCAGAAAUGAUUAGGCAGUGUAGAUAGGUAAAUAGAGUCAGGUUGGAUCUAGGAGGCCAGUUUUAAGUGAGUUUGGGAAGUUGAAGACUGUCUCCUGAGGAUUACUGUUUACCAAGAUGUAGAGCCUGCCCAAAUAGGCCCCCAACUGAGGAAACCAUGAUUGGUUCCCAAGUUUCCAGACAAAGGGGGAAUGAAAAACUAGCCUCUACCUCAGAGAAAAGCCUGUCCAAGGAAGGGACAUGACCUUAGUCCUUGGAAAAACCCACAGAGCACUCCUAAGCACAUUCCCACCCUGCUAAGUUGUUUAUCUACAAAUAACAGGAGAGAUCUGCUGCGCCAGGUGUCCCUGACUCAGUCAGGCUAGGUGGAGAUCCAUAACAGCCCCCUAGCAGCCACCAAUCAGCAUGAGACAGGGAAAUACCUGGGAUGCCAGAUAACCCUCCCAGUGGUUUAUGGUGGUUAAUAACAAGUUUGGAAACCAUGUAGUUCAGCACGUACACCCCUCUUGGCUCAAACCAAUCAGUUCAAACGAAUACCCCUUUUGUACUGACCAAUCACCCCUACCCAACUUGUUCCCGCCAGUGAAUGUGCUAAUCAUGUUUUAGAGUUGUUAUUUGAUUUUCCCACGGUGUGUGAUGAUUUGCUAAAAGAGGCUAUGAUGUAUGUGAAGUCCCUGCCUUCUCCAAAAAAUGUAUAAAACUACUGCAAACCCUGGGCUCGGGGCCUCUCAGCAUCACCAGUUGCUGUGUGGGCAUGCAGAGGACCGAGCUAGCUCGCAAUAAACACCUCUU